UUUUUUUUGCAGUACAUUUGUGAGUUGUCUUCGCUAUUUUGCUUGCCGUUCAUAUUAUCUAGGGCUGAAAUUAGAUCGGCCUGGGCCGAGCCAUACCCAUGCCCGAGUCCGAUCCAGAAAAAUUUUGCAAACUUUGGGCCGGCCCGAUUAUUUUGAAAAAAACAUGCUCGAGCCCUAUUGGGCCAACCCGAGCCCGCCCUUAUCACCUUGCACCUCUUCGACAUCG
rnacentral:lncRNA from 1 species